UACGAAGGGUGCAAGCGUUACUCGGAAUUACUGGGCGUAAAGCGUGCGUAGGUGGUUUGUUAAGUCUGUUGUGAAAGCCCCGGGCUCAACCUGGGAAUGGCAAUGGAUACUGGCAGGCUAGAGUGCGGUAGAGGGUAGUGGAAUUCCCGGUGUAGAGGUGAAAUUCGUAGAUAUCGGGAGGAACACCAGUGGCGAAAGGCGGCUCUCUGGAACGUUUCUGACACUGAGGCUCGAAAGCGUGGGGAGCAAACAGG
rnacentral:rRNA from 1 species